rnacentral:rRNA from 1 species
UUGAAGGCUGAAAUUCGCCUUCAUGAAGCCGGAAUUGCUAGUAAUGGCAGGUCAGCAUACUGCCGUGAAUACGUUCCCGGGCCCUUGUACACACCGCCCGUCACACCAUGAGAGUUGGGAAUACCCGAAGCCUGUGAGCUAACGUAAGAGGCAGCAGUCGAAGGUAGAAUCAAUGAUUGGGGUGAAGUCGUAACAAGGUAGC